UCAGGAAUAUUGCGCAAUGGAGGAAACUCUGACGCAGCGACGCCGCGUGGGUGAUGAAGGCCUUCGGGUCGUAAAGCCCUGUCGGAAGGGAAGAAAAGCUUGUUGGCUAAUAUCCAGCGAGCCUUUGACGGUACCUUCAAAGGAAGCACCGGCUAACUCCGUGCCAGCAGCCGCGGUAAGACGGAGGGUGCAAGCGUUGUUCGGAUUGACUGGGCGUAAAGGGCGUGUAGGCGGUUCGUUAAGUCGGGUGUGAAAGCCCGGGGCUCAGCUCCGGAAGUGCGCCCGAAACUGGCGAGCUGGAGCGCGGUAGAGGAGGGUGGAAUUCCUGGUGUAGCGGUGAAAUGCGUAGAUAUCAGGAGGAACACCGGCGGCGAAGGCGGCCCUCUGGACCGUUGCUGACGCUGAGACGCGAAAGCGUGGGGAGCAAACAGGAUUAGAUACCCCCGUAGUCC
rnacentral:rRNA from 1 species